rnacentral:lncRNA from 1 species
GGCUAGACAAGAGAACAGGUUGUCAUCAGGGACAAUGGAUAUGGAUGGGGCUAGACAAGAGAACAGGUUGUCAUCAGGGGCAAUGGAUAUGGAUGGGGCUAGGCAAGAGAACAGGUUGUCAUCAGGGGCAAUGGAUAUGGAUGGGGCUAGACAAGAGAACAGGUUGUCAUCAGGGACAAUGGAUAUGGAUGGGGCUAGACAAGAGAACAGGUUGUCAUCAGGGACAAUGGAUAUGGAUGGGGCUAGACAAGAGAACAGGUUGUCAUCAGGGACAAUGGAUAUGGAUGGGGCUAGACAAGAGAACAGGUUGAGGCAUGUUUCCUGAAGAUUUAAAUGAAAAGUCGUCCCCCUAGCAACUACUACCCACUCGCUCUCUUGUCGACAACAAACGUCUCUUUCUACCGGUGAACUUUAGUGACACAUUUGACUUUCACGUAGCUUAAACCCAUGUCAUUAUAGAUACAAUUAUAAAAGACUCAUCUGUGCAGAAUAGAGGGAAGACGAGGUGAAAAUAA